rnacentral:sRNA from 1 species
UUCCACAAAUAUGACAAGUCAAGUUGGA